GAGUUUGAUCAUGGCUCAGGACGAACGCUGGCGGCGUGCCUAAUACAUGCAAGUAGAACGCUGAAGAGAGGAGCUUGCUCUUCUUGGAUGAGUUGCGAACGGGUGAGUAACGCGUAGGUAACCUGCCUUGUAGCGGGGGAUAACUAUUGGAAACGAUAGCUAAUACCGCAUAACAAUAGGUGACACAUGUCAUUUAUUUGAAAGGGGCAAUUGCUCCACUACAAGAUGGACCUGCGUUGUAUUAGCUAGUAGGUGAGGUAACGGCUCACCUAGGCGACGAUACAUAGCCGACCUGAGAGGGUGAUCGGCCACACUGGGACUGAGACACGGCCCAGACUCCUACGGGAGGCAGCAGUAGGGAAUCUUCGGCAAUGGGGGCAACCCUGACCGAGCAACGCCGCGUGAGUGAAGAAGGUUUUCGGAUCGUAAAGCUCUGUUGUAAGUCAAGAACGAGUGUGAGAGUGGAAAGUUCACACUGUGACGGUAGCUUACCAGAAAGGGACGGCUAACUACGUGCCAGCAGCCGCGGUAAUACGUAGGUCCCGAGCGUUGUCCGGAUUUAUUGGGCGUAAAGCGAGCGCAGGCGGUUUGAUAAGUCUGAAGUUAAAGGCUGUGGCUCAACCAUAGUUCGCUUUGGAAACUGUCAAACUUGAGUGCAGAAGGGGAGAGUGGAAUUCCAUGUGUAGCGGUGAAAUGCGUAGAUAUAUGGAGGAACACCGGUGGCGAAAGCGGCUCUCUGGUCUGUAACUGACGCUGAGGCUCGAAAGCGUGGGGAGCGAACAGGAUUAGAUACCCUGGUAGUCCACGCCGUAAACGAUGAGUGCUAGGUGUUGGAUCCUUUCCGGGAUUCAGUGCCGCAGCUAACGCAUUAAGCACUCCGCCUGGGGAGUACGACCGCAAGGUUGAAACUCAAAGGAAUUGACGGGGGCCCGCACAAGCGGUGGAGCAUGUGGUUUAAUUCGAAGCAACGCGAAGAACCUUACCAGGUCAUGACAUCCCGAUGCUAUUUCUAGAGAUAGAAAGUUACUUCGGUACAUCGGUGACAGGUGGUGCAUGGUUGUCGUCAGCUCGUGUCGUGAGAUGUUGGGUUAAGUCCCGCAACGAGCGCAACCCCUAUUGUUAGUUGCCAUCAUUCAGUUGGGCACUCUAGCGAGACUGCCGGUAAUAAACCGGAGGAAGGUGGGGAUGACGUCAAAUCAUCAUGCCCCUUAUGACCUGGGCUACACACGUGCUACAAUGGUUGGUACAACGAGUUGCGAGUCGGUGACGGCAAGCUAAUCUCUUAAAGCCAAUCUCAGUUCGGAUUGUAGGCUGCAACUCGCCUACAUGAAGUCGGAAUCGCUAGUAAUCGCGGAUCAGCACGCCGCGGUGAAUACGUUCCCGGGCCUUGUACACACCGCCCGUC
rnacentral:rRNA from 1 species